rnacentral:rRNA from 1 species
ACACAUGCAGUCGAGCGGUAGCACAGAGAGCUUGCUCUCGGGUGACGAGCGGCGGACGGGUGAGUAAUGUCUGGGAAACUGCCUGAUGGAGGGGGAUAACUACUGGAAACGGUAGCUAAUACCGCAUAACGUCGCAAGACCAAAGAGGGGGACCUUCGGGCCUCUUGCCAUCAGAUGUGCCCAGAUGGGAUUAGCUAGUAGGUGGGGUAAUGGCUCACCUAGGCGACGAUCCCUAGCUGGUCUGAGAGGAUGACCAGCCACACUGGAACUGAGACACGGUCCAGACUCCUACGGGAGGCAGCAGUGGGGAAUAUUGCACAAUGGGCGCAAGCCUGAUGCAGCCAUGCCGCGUGUAUGAAGAAGGCCUUCGGGUUGUAAAGUACUUUCAGCGAGGAGGAAGGCAUUGUGGUUAAUAACCACAGUGAUUGACGUUACUCGCAGAAGAAGCACCGGCUAACUCCGUGCCAGCAGCCGCGGUAAUACGGAGGGUGCAAGCGUUAAUCGGAAUUACUGGGCGUAAAGCGCACGCAGGCGGUCUGUCAAGUCGGAUGUGAAAUCCCCGGGCUCAACCUGGGAACUGCAUUCGAAACUGGCAGGCUAGAGUCUUGUAGAGGGGGGGUAGAAUUCCAGGUGUAGCGGUGAAAUGCGUAGAGAUCAGAGGAAUACCGGUGGCGAACGCGGCCCCCUGGACAAAGACUGACGCUCAGUGCGAAAGCGUGGGGAGCAAACAGGAUUAGAUACCCUGCUAGUC